UACGGAGGGGGCAAGCGUUGUCCGGACUUACUGGGCGUAAAGGGUCCGUAGGCGGCCUGCUGCGUCGCUGCUGAAAGCGCCCCGCUUAACGGGGCGAGGCGUGGCGAUACGAGCAGGCUUGAGGAAGGCAGAGGGUGGCGGAAUUCCGGGUGUAGUGGUGAAAUGCGUAGAGAUCCGGAGGAACGCCUGUGGCGCAAGCGGCCACCUGGGCCUUAUCUGACGCUGAGGGACGAAAGCGUGGGGAGCAAACCGG
rnacentral:rRNA from 1 species